AUUUUGGAAAUCGAACAGACUUCUGGAAGGGGUUCCGUUCGACUUCCAUGGUAUGACUGUAUUUACUUCAUAUGGAUCCCUCACUGUUGGUGCAGAUGGUGAGACGCAAUAAUUUCAAUGAGGUGAGAGAAAUGAAAGGAACAGACAUGGGUAUUAAUUUUGUCUCUGACACUCUAGUUAUAAAGCAACAAUUAAGAGUUCAGAAAGCUGCUAAUCUCUCUUUCUAUUAUCUGUUUUAUGUGUCCAGAGCCAACAAGGAAGGAACAAAACAGCAUGUUUUACCAGAUGGGCACUAUCCUCAAGAAAGGAGGAAUCAUUUCUGUACUAAAAGGAAAGAUUAAUACAAAUAAUAACAAGAAUAGAAGACUAACUGUAAACAAUGAAGAACAGAACCAAGGCUACUUCAAUAUCAAAUUGGUGCCGCUAUUGCUCAAAUGAAUGUCUCUCUCUGGGAAUUUUCAUAGCAAAUAUUAUCUUUAGUCUUCUCUGGAUGUGCAAAUAUUUGAUUUCUAGCAACAAUAUUUGGCAUCCAAAGUUUCUGUAAUACAAUCAACAUUUGACAGUGCUAAUCUGCAGUAUACAGUGGUACCUUGGUUUAAGAAAAGUCCGGUUUAAGAACGAUUCGGUUUACAAACUCCGCAAAACCGGAAAUAGUGUCCUGGUUUGAGAACUUUACCUCGGUCUAAGAACGGAAUCCGAAUGGUGGAAGGACGCCGGUGGUGGGAGACCUCAUUAGGGAAAACACACCUUGGUUUAAGAACGGUCUUCUGGAACAGAUUAAGUUUGUAAAACAAGGUACCACUGUAAUUCAAUGCAUUUAUAUUGUAUGACAAAUCUGAAUAGGCACCCUUUGACUUUUCA